rnacentral:rRNA from 1 species
UACGUAGGGGGCGAGCGUUGUCCGAAGUUACUGGGCGUAAAGCGCGCGUAGGCGGGUUUUCAAGUCUGGGGUGAAAGGUUCAGCGCUCAACGCGAACAGUGCCUUGGAUACUGGGGACCUUGAGUUCGGGAGAGGGCAGUGGAAUUCCUGGUGUAGCGGUGAAAUGCGUAGAUAUCAGGAGGAACACCGGUGGCGAAGGCGACUUACUGGACACAUAUUGA